rnacentral:rRNA from 1 species
ACAAGCGGUGGAUGAUGUGGUUUAAUUCGACGCAACGCGAAGAACCUUACUAGGGCUUGACAUCCCCUGACCGCGUAUGAAAGUACGUUUUCACCCUCGGGUGACAGGGAGACAGGUGGUGCAUGGUUGUCGUCAGCUCGUGUCGUGAGAUGUUGGGUUAAGUCCCGCAACGAGCGCAACCCCUACGUUUAGUUGCUAACGCGUGAAGGCGAGCACUCUAGACGAACUGCCGUUGACAAAACGGAGGAAGGUGGGAUGACGUCAAAUCAUCAUGCCCCUUAUGUUCUGGGCUACACACGUGCUACAAUGGCCGGUACAGACGGACGCAAAGCCGCGAGGUGGAGCAAAUCCUAAAAAGCCGGUCUCAGUUCGGAUUGCAGGCUGCAAUUCGCCUGCAUGAAGCCGGAAUCGCUAGUAAUCGCAGGUCAGCAUACUGCGGUGAAUACGUUCCCGGGCCUU